rnacentral:lncRNA from 1 species
AGCGAGUUGUUUUCUGCACGGAGAUGGGAUCGAAUGUGCAGUGGGAUCUCUUCCUGCACCCACCUCAAUAACUUGCUUGGGACAUUGGAGACUGAUCGUUUCGUGGGAUCUCUGCCUUUUUAUGAGCUGUUGAGCCUUAUGGAAAGCUUCUUCUUGCCAAAUCGAUUUCCAUGUCAAUGAGAGUUUCUGACAGCUUCAACUAGAGACUAACAAUGACACACCGGUUAUAUGGUUAAUAAAAUUCACUUUUUUAAAAAAAAUAACUUGAUUGGGACAUAGAAUCCGAAAUCUGACAAAAGCUGGUCAAGCGAACAGCUUCAAGAUACAACAAAUGAUCGACUUCUUAAUGUAUUUAGUUCUUAGAAUGUAAAGACUCAUACUAGAGAAAGAUCUUAGAAGGAUAGCAAUGGUAGCAGAGCAAUACCCAAAGGAGAAUUACUUUGCUUUCUAAGAUUGUUCCUGAUAAUGUUUUUCUCAUGAAAUUACUACGUGUUUAUAAUUUUUUUGUCAAUAAAAUUUUAUAUUUCAUGAAUUUUGAUGAUUCA